CGAGGGGUGCAAGCGUUGCUCGGAAUUAUUGGGCGUAAAGGGUAGGUAGGUGGUCUCAUUUGUCUGGGGUGAAAGCCUUGAGCUUAACUCAAGAAGUGCCCCAGAAACGGUGAGACUCGAGUACUGGAGAGGGUCGUGGAAUUCCCGGUGUAGCGGUGAAAUGCGUAGAGAUCGGGAGGAACACCAGAGGCGAAGGCGGCGACCUGGACAGUUACUGACACUCAACUACGAAAGCGUGGGGAGCAAACAGGAUUAGAUACCCUGGUAGUCCACGCUGUAAACGAUGAGUACUAGGCUUGGCGGGUCUUGACCCCUGCUGAGCCGGCGCUAACGCAAUAAGUACUCCGCCUGGGAAGUACGGUCGCAAGACUA
rnacentral:rRNA from 1 species